GCUGUUGGUUCAGUUUUCCAGCUCCCUAUCAAUUGCAACAUAACCAUCUGAUUCAUCAGUAGUCCUUGGUACCUUGUAAUAAUGGCGUUUCUUACACAUUUAAUAUUAACUACUGCAUGCAUAGUAAGUUUUUGUUUAUUUGUUCUUGCUUGCUCUUUUGGGGAAGGGGGACCACCAUUUUAUGUUUAACACUUAUUAAAAUUAUCCUUUUACUGGGAAAACCCACAGCUUUUUAUAACUUGGAAAAAUUAAAUAUAAUUUUAUUCAGAAAACUGUCGGGGUUUGACACUGGCUAGAAGCCAGGCACCCACGAAAAACCAUUCACUCAUUCUCCUCUGCAUUAGUUGAGCAGAGGAGGAGGAAAGAAAAACCAGAAGGUUCACGGGAUGAGAUAAGGAUUAGGAGAACACACCCUAAUGGCAAAACAGGCUCAAAACAUAAAAGGUGUAAAGAUAAAUUUAUUAACAGAAUUAAAAGAGGAUAAUGAGAACUAAAAUAAACCUUGGGAAUAUCUUCCCCCCUCCCCCAGCCCUUCUUUCCUUCCCACAGACAGCACAGAGAGACUUAACAUGGGGUUUUUAGUCAGUUUGUCACUUUUUAAAAAAAUAUUUCUUCGGUUUGCUCAGGGAGAGGAGACUUCUGUUGUGUCAAGGGGUCCUUCCCAUGGGAGCCAGUUUUCUGUGAACUUCUCCACCGUGGUUCUAAUUUUCACGAGUAGCAGCCCAACCCAACCCGCUACAACUUGAGUCCCUCCCACGGGCAAAAUAGUUUUCCAGAACUACAUGGCGUGGGUCAUUUUAGUUCAUGGGGUGUAGUCUUUUAAGGAUGAGCUGUUCUUGUUUGGAAGAAACAAGGAAGUCCUCUUCCUCUAUCUUCUCCUCUCUGGUCAAGUCCCCCAUGAGAUUACAGUUUUUCAGCAUCCACACACUCCAGUGCAAGCACCUCUUUCUCAUGGGCUGCAGGUGAAUUCUACAUCCCCCCAUGCCCUUCAUGAAUUACAGGGAAACAGUUUGGUAUAUUAUAGUCCUCACCACGGCUUGCAGAAGAAUCUCAGCACUGAUGCCCGGAUCACCUCCUCCUCUCCCUCCCUCCCUCCAUUUCAUCGACCUCAGCGUCGCCAUCUUGUUCUCCUCACGUGUCUUCACCUUUCCCUUUUCCCUGAUCCGUGAGAGAAUCGGUGUCUGUGGGAUUGUCUGUUCUCAAGUUCUGCCAGCUGAAAAGUUCUUACAGGGUUCCGCAGUGCUGAAAAGCUGAUCCCAUCCGGGCUCCGCACUGGGGAAUUGCUCGUCCUGCCCCUCGGCUGGGCCGCCUGGUCUCCCCACAGCCGCGCGGGCGGUGCCACCGCGACAUCGGCCCCAGCCGGCGCCUCUCCUCAUGCGGGGCACCGAGAAGGAGAAGCUGCUGCCGCCGCCCCUGUUGGCCCUUCUGUUCGCAGCACGGCCGGCGGAAAGCGGCCAAGCAGGCACAGCUCACUGCGAACCCUGCCAAGACAGCGGAGGCCACUCCCAACCCCGGCCGCAUGGCCAUGGCCGUGUGGUCCUGGCAGCUGUGCCCGGCCUCCCCACCUGAAGAAAAAAAAAAAAAAAAAGAAAAAUUGAAGAAGAAAAGGAAUAAAGAAAAAUUGUGCACAGUUUUUUCCUUUUUAAAUACGUCAUCACAGAAGCAUUAUCAACCUCUGUAGCUGGGCUAGUAGUAUGUCCAUCAUAAGAGCCUUCAGGGACUGGCUCUGCUGGACGCAGUAGAAUCUUGGAGCAGCUUCUCUCUCGGAAGCUGCCUCUGUGGCUUCUCCCACCCCUACUAAAAGUCAGGCUGUGUUAAACCAACACAAAAACAUAGCAAUUGAAAGUACUAGGGUUGAGAGUCAGUCCUAUAUUAUAUUUCUCCAAAACUUCCUUCUAGUUUUAAUUUUUUGGGGUUUUUUUGGUUGGUUUUUUUUUUUAUUAUUUUUUAUUUUUAAGUAACUGCAACGUAAUUUUACUUUUGCAUAAGCAUACCUUUUUUUUUUUUUCUGCUUACUUACCUUCUUUAACAGAAAAAAAUUAUUUCAUAUACAAACCCUGAAUCUAAGAGAGAUUUUCUCCUACUGACAUCUCAAAUAAUUUAGUGGUACUGACAAUUUUUUUUCUCCUGUGCUGCAGCUUUGCUUAAUGCAGGAGAGAGCAACUCCAGCAGUGGGAGAGACCAGGCAGUAUACCUCAACCCUAUUAUUCCAGGCAUCAGCUAAGACAAGUGUAAGAAACUGCACCUGGAGGUUUGUUGAUAGCCAGAUAGUGGUGCACAGGAUGGAUUCUGCGUGGCUGUGAAUUUUAAUGGCUUUGUAGUUAUCUCAAGAACUUAUAUCAGGUUAUAGCAUGCAGUGAGAACAGAGUUCAAAGUGGGUGAUGCUCUUGCAAAUGAGUAGCAGAAGACCUGCUAUUCUCUAAACCUGAAACAUUCUCUAAACCUGAAACAAGCCUGGUUGCUGCAGUCAGCUUGCAAGGUCUUCUGUGUGAAGUGUCUUACUGACAGUGAAAACUACCAUUUUCUGUAGGAAAUCUUCUGACUGCUCAAAGAACUGUCUAUUCCUCACAUUUACCAAGCUGCUCCAGAUGGGGACUCUGAAGGAAUGGAGUGAAAGUAAUACCAAGGAAAUUGUUCAAAAUUUGUUCAUGAAGAAAACAAGCUCGAGAGGGACAAGGGAUGUUCAGGCUCCAUUCCACUUUCCUUCACAGUGGCUUUUUCGUAAUUCAAAUGUCAUAGGCUAGAUCAGUAUAUUUACAAUGAGCUCUUCAGUCUCUUCUUUCAAGGAUCUUGCCUCUUCCAAAAGAGAGAUGUGACAGUUUCAAGUGGAAUGGUUCUUGCAGGUGAUUUUCUUUAUAUGGACAAAGUAAAACCAACAAAACCAGAACAUAAUAAACCUCACAUACCCAGUGAAGAGAAUAAACUUGUCUUUGGCCUUUUUUUUGACUUUCUCGAAAGAAGACGAAAAGACUUGGGCUAUCUCAUCAGAUAUACUGGCAGUUGCUAUAGACUGUACAAUUUGACUGCAUCAGGAAAAUAAAGUCUACUUUUACACGUGGCUGAAA